rnacentral:rRNA from 1 species
UACGUAGGGUGCAAGCGUUAAUCGGAAUUACUGGGCGUAAAGCGUGCGCAGGCGGUUUUGUAAGACCGAUGUGAAAUCCCCGGGCUUAACCUGGGAACUGCAUUGGUGACUGCAAGGCUUGAGUGUGUCAGAGGGGGGUGGAAUUCCGCGUGUAGCAGUGAAAUGCGUAGAUAUGCGGAGGAACACCGAUGGCGAAGGCAGCCCCCUGGGAUAACACUGACGCUCAUGCACGAAAGCGUGGGGAGCAAACAGG